CAGCAGGCGCGCAAAUUACCCACUCCCGGCACGGGGAGGUAGUGACGAAAAAUAACGAUACGGGACUCAUCCGAGGCCCCGUAAUCGGAAUGAGUACACUUUAAACCCUUUAACGAGUAUCCAUUGGAGGGCAAGUCUGGUGCCAGCAGCCGCGGUAAUUCCAGCUCCAAUAGCGUAUAUUAAAGUUGUUGCGGUUAAAAAGCUCGUAGUUGGAUUUGUGUCCCACGCUGUCGGUUCACCGUUCGUCGGUGUUUAACUGGCAUGCCCGUGCGGACGUCCUGCCGGUGGAUGCGGUCGGCCGUGGGCCUCUGGUCUGCGCGUCGGCGGUCCGAUGCAAUCCUACCGCGGUGCUCUUCACCGAGUGUCGAGGUGGGCCGGCACGUUUACUUUGAACAAAUUAGAGUGCUCAAAGCAGGCAGUGGUUCGCCUGAAUAUUGUGUGCAUGGAAUAAUGGAAUAGGACCUCGGUUCUAUUUUGUUGGUUUUCGGAACUUGAGGUAAUGAUUAAUAGGGACAGACGGGGGCAUUCGUAUUGCGACGUUAGAGGUGAAAUUCUUGGAUCGUCGCAAGACGAACCUAAGCGAAAGCAUUUGCCAUGAGUGUUUUCACUAAUCAAGAACGAAAGUUAGAGGUUCGAAGGCGAUCAGAUACCGCCCUAGUUCUAACCAUAAACGAUGCCAGCUAGCGAUCCGCCGAAGUUCCUCCGAUGACUCGGCGGGCAGCUUCCGGGAAACCAAAGCUUUUGGGUUCCGGGGGAAGUAUGGUUGCAAAGCUGAAACUUAAAGGAAUUGACGGAAGGGCACCACCAGGAGUGGAGCCUGCGGCUUAAUUUGACUCAACACGGGAAACCUCACCAGGCCCGGACACCGGAAGGAUUGACAGAUUGAGAGCUCUUUCUUGAUUCGGUGGGUGGUGGUGCAUGGCCGUUCUUAGUUGGUGGAGCGAU
rnacentral:rRNA from 1 species